rnacentral:tRNA from 1 species
UGGAUGUAACUCAGUGGUAGAGCAUUUGCCUGACAUGUGUGAGGGCCUGGGUCUAAUCCCCAGCACUCCAA